CUUGAAAAAGGGAGUUCAAGAAGAGCUUCGAAGAAGCUUUCUUGAUGGAGGGGAGUGGCAGACGGGUGAGUAACGCGUGGGAAUCUACCCAUCCCUACGGAAUAACGCAUGGAAACGUGUGCUAAUACCGUAUACGCCCUACGGGGGAAAGAUUUAUCGGGGAUGGAUGAGCCCGCGUUGGAUUAGCUAGUUGGUGGGGUAAAGGCCUACCAAGGCGACGAUCCAUAGCUGGUCUGAGAGGAUGAUCAGCCACAUUGGGACUGAGACACGGCCCAAACUCCUACGGGAGGCAGCAGUGGGGAAUAUUGGACAAUGGGCGCAAGCCUGAUCCAGCCAUGCCGCGUGAGUGAUGAAGGCCUUAGGGUUGUAAAGCUCUUUCACCGGAGAAGAUAAUGACGGUAUCCGGAGAAGAAGCCCCGGCUAACUUCGUGCCAGCCGCCGCCGUAAAAC
rnacentral:rRNA from 1 species